UUUUCGACAGAAAAAAACAUAUGUCCAUUAUCUCAAUAAAAAUAACAAAUUCACAAAAAAAUAAAUCAAACACUUGACUUCUUAAGACACUGCACUCAUUCACAACUAAAUCAAUACUCAAGAUAAAAAUGUAUAACAUAACUUACAUAUUCUCAACGAAAGUAAAAAACAAAGCCUACUUUACUAUUUCAUUCAGAGAGAAUUCAAAAACAUUAUUGUCAAAAACAAAAUAACCGGUUUGAAAAACAAAUAAAAAAUCUUUCCAACUUCCUAACAAUAAUCAGCAAGAUUCUUCUGUAAAAUCAAUAUAUAUAUAUCCACAACAUAAGUAUAAUACAUUGUACGCAUGCAUCCAAAUCAAAAAACUUUUCUUCUCCUCAAAAAAAUCAAAUCGUAUCAUAAAACCUCUUGUGGAAAAAUGAUUAUAUCAAUUUAUAUCAAUUUGUCUCGAAAAAUAGACACAAAUGAAUUUUAAAUCGAACAUCGCCCUAACAGGUAACAUAAACUUGAAAAAGAAAAAAUCACUUCAACAAUACAAAUCAAGUUAUGAAGAAAAAUCAACCUCAAGAAUGAAAAAAUCAUUUCAUGAAAAAUUCUUCCUCCUCAAAAGCAAUGAAGAAUGUCCUAUUAAGUAAAACUUGCAAGUUCCUCUUGUCAUAGCAUCCAUCAUUCAAAAAGGUAACCAUAAAAUAAUCCUUCCCAAAAACAAACGUAGUACCAUCCUUAACAUGUAAAAAAACAUAUAUAUGAUGUAUCAUGUAAAUAUAAAAAAAUAAGAUGUACCAUGUAAACAUAAAAUAUGUCCAUACAAUACAAUGAGAUCGUCACUCAAAAACAAAGUAAACAAAAGCACUCUGUCUAUCUUCCUCUCACUAAUGUCCCAUAUCAUUUGCAACAAAACCAUCAGAGACCCAAGACAAACCACCAUGAAAAAAAUACAAUCCACUAGCCAAAACAACUUCACAGAGGAAAGUCAUACCCAACGUUCGUACAAAAAAUCCCAUGUAUAUGGAAAUGAAUGGGAAGGGUCAAAUCAAAUGGCAAACGUUACCGUCUGCAAAAAUCACAUUAUAAACUAAAGAAUAGAAAAACAUACCAUCAUGCAUGCCAAUAAAGAAACCAAAAAUGAACAACAAACGGGGGACAUACAAAGCAAAAAAGGGGGGUUGUCAAAUAUCAUCAAUUAUCAAUAAUCACAAAAACAACAGCGAUUCCACACAGGAAAAAUUAAACGCAAAACUCCACACACAUGACCAAAACGAAUCAUUCAUCAAUGGCAAAGAUCAUAUAUGAUAGAAAUCAGCUAAUCAAACGGACGAAGACAACAAAUCAAACAGAUAAAACAAAUAAAAACCAAAACAAAUCAGAAAUGAAAUAAAACAAAAAUAUAUAAGGACAAAAAAACUUUUUCACCUCUUUUUACAAAUAAAAUUGAAAAAUAAAAAACAAUAUAUCUCUCAUAUACAUAUUCCACAAUA